GGCGCCGGGCCGAUGGUGCAGGGUUAUCGACUUCAACUCGAGAGGUUGCGGGUUCGAGUCCCGCCAGUCCCC
rnacentral:tRNA from 1 species